rnacentral:rRNA from 1 species
AGUCGUAACAAGGUUUCCGUAGGUGAACCUGCGGAAGGAUCAUUACAGAGAACUGGUCUUCGGAUCGAUCUCCCACCCUAUGUUUACAUACUUUGUUGCUUUGGCAGGCCCGCCUUCGGGCCACCGGCUUAAGCUGGUCCGUGCCUGCCAGAGGACCCCAAACUCUUAUUAUCAGUAUUGUCUGAGAAACUAUAUAAUAGUUAAAACUUUCAACAACGGAUCUCUUGGUUCUGGCAUCGAUGAAGAACGCAGCGAAAUGCGAUAAGUAAUGUGAAUUGCAGAAUUCAGUGAAUCAUCGAAUCUUUGAACGCACAUUGCGCCCCUUGGUAUUCCGGGGGGCAUGCCUGUUCGAGCGUCAUUACAACCCUCAAGCUCUGCUUGGUAUUGGGCCUCACCAUCCCGGUCGGCUUUAAAAUCAGUGGCGGUGCCAUCUGGCUUCAAGCAUAGUAAUACUUCUUGCUUCCGGAGUCCAGGUGGUUACUUGCCAGCAACCCCCAAUUUUUUCAGGUUGACCUCGGAUCAGGUAGGGAUACCCGCUGAACUUAAGCAUAUCAAUAAGCGGAGGAAAAGAAACCAACAGGGAUUGCCUCAGUAACGGCGAGUGAAGCGGCAACAGCUCAAAUUUGAAAUCUGGCCUUCGGGUCCGAGUUGUAAUUUGUAGAGGAUGUUUCGGGCGCGGUCCGGUCUAAGUUCCUUGGAACAGGGCGUCAUAGAGGGUGAGAAUCCCGUAUGCGACCGGGUGCCUAAGCUCAUGUGAAACUCCUUCAACGAGUCGAGUUGUUUGGGAAUGCAGCUCAAAAUGGGUGGUAUAUUUCAUCUAAAGCUAAAUAUUGGCCAGAGACCGAUAGCGCACAAGUAGAGUGAUCGAAAGAUGAAAAGCACUUUGGAAAGAGAGUUAAACAGUACGUGAAAUUGUUGAAAGGGAAGCGCUUGCAACCAGACUUGCACGCAGUUGAUCAUCCGGUGUUCUCACCGGUGCACUCGAUUGUGUUCAGGCCAGCAUCGGUUUCGGUGGUUGGAUAAAGGCCUUGGGAAUGUAGCUCCUCGGGGAGUGUUAUAGCCCUCGGUGCAAUGCAGCCUACCGGGACCGAGGACCGCGCUUCGGCUAGGAUGCUGGCGUAAUGGUUGUAAGCGACC